UUUUAUUCAGGUCGAGUUUGCAGGAGGUGCUUUGCGUUGCGGUGAGUAUGUAACAUUACGGAAGAUAAGUGAUUUCACUCAGAAGGGCGGCACUGUAGCCCAACAUGUGAUCAUCGAGGGUCCUUUAACCGAAGAGUACUAUCAGAUAAGGGAACUUCUUUAUUCUCAGUUUUACUUGUUUUAGCUUGGAAGCAUUUGAAAACUAUUCUUUUGGCCCUAUGAGUCCAUGAUUCUUAGUCGAAAGCUCCAGUUAAAGUAGGUUUGCAGUUCACUUUCUGUUGCAUAUUAAACUUAUCUUACUGCUUGCGGAUCUCUUGGCAAGACAAUUUUGCUCAAAUUUCAAAUCAGUUAACUAAUUUAAGCCGAGAUAUUACACAUCAAAGACAAUUUUAUUGAACUUGGUGGGAUUUGAAGAUUCAAGUAGAUAAGAAUUCUUAUGUUGUGAAAGAAGCCUCAUUGUAACUAGGGAAGUUGUACUGAAUAUGUGAAUCUAAUAGAGCUUAUGAAAUGACCUGUAGCAUUCCCUAAGGUUUUAAAAACUUGUAUAAAACAUUUCCUAAUACGAGUUUAGACGUUGUAGAUUAACUAGCAUGAUGAUUUUGUAAUAAAUUUGUGUGGUUUAGGAAAAAUUUUUGCGGGCCCUGGAAGCUGUUUUAGUUGAUGAGCAGAGUAAAUUUUGUGUUUGGUAAACCUUUAUUAUCAAUGUUUAGCUUCUAGUGGUAA